rnacentral:snoRNA from 1 species
UUCCCAUGGAGAAAAAUUCACAAGGCCAUACCUCCUCUGUCCUAGCUCUAAAGCCCAUAAAGCUGAACCCACUAAAGCUGGCUAGGGUAAAAGAGGAAAAGAAGUGUCAGAAGUAUCACCAGAACUUCUGCACAUGGCAAAGGGAA